AGGUGGUUCAGUGGAUAGAACACUGGACCUGGAAUCCAGAAGACCUGACUUCUAAUCCAGCCU
rnacentral:tRNA from 1 species